CAGUGUAUGUUAAACUUUAAUUUCCAAUAGUCAUAAAUUAUAAAUGGGAAUACAUACAAAAAGAUGUUUUGUUUCAUAUAUGCCCUCCCACCAGCCAAUGAAAACAUCACAUGUAAGGAUCUUAUGAAAUAUACUAGUAGCUCUAUAUCGUAGAGAUAAAGUUAUAGUAAAGGAAAAGUUGUCUUAGGUACAAGAUAAAAUUUCUCGGAAAUUGAUGAUGGCGUUUAUUUAUUUGUGUCUUACUGUUUUGAUUUUCUGUGCGCCAGGAGUAAGGACUGGACCAAAUUCUGGAGCAAAUUUUAUUUGUGGUGAGGAGCUUUCAGCCGUUCCUGGAAUAUUAAAGACACUGACAUCACCAAAUUUCAUUCAAGAUUUGCAAAAUUACCCUCCUGAUACAAAUUGUACUUGGAUAGUUAGGUCUGUGGCACCAUGGAAUGUAGUUAUCAAAUUUGAAUUCUUUGCAGUAGAAAGGGACUUUAACUGUGACAGCUGGGACUGGGUCACAAUUGAUAACGGUGAGUUUAUCGGACAAGGCGAUUUGGGGAGAUUUUGUGGAGACAAUUUCUGUUCUGGAAACCAACCUGGCUUUUAUCCGACUGGCGAAAUUGUAAGCGACGGGAGCGUCGUGACUAUCAAUUUUUGCAGUGACUUUUUAAUUGAAAGACCUGGCUUCUUGUUAACGUACACAAGCAGUAAGUAUUGAAACCAUUGCAAUGCACUAAAGUCUGCCUUUAUGGUAGUUCUGCACGUUCGGAUCAUUUUUUUUAGAAUUUAAUUAAUCCUGAUAUUAAAAAAACUUCAAAAUGUACUCAGAAAUUUCUACAAAUAAAAUAUUAGGGUCGAGUGUUUGAUUAUUUGAUUGACUGAUUUAAAAACACUUGAACCUCAAACACAUUUUCGUAAUGGAAGUCUAAAGAAAAAUUACAAUUUUGACUGCAUUUUUCGAGAAAAGAAUUUUUUCUAUGAUAUAUAUUAAAUGAAACUUCUCGCAGCCGUAAAUAAACAUAUAGUCUGUAAUACGGUGAAAUAAAAUGUACAUAUCCGUGUAAUUGUUAUUGAGAUAUUGCCCAUGGUCCAAGAGAUCUCCACAUUUCAAGCUGAUUUCAAGACAUUAAUUUGACUUGUUUAAUGAAUCAAACAUUAAAUAUCAUAUUUAGUCUUUAAAAAGAUUGUAAAAAUUGCCGUUUUAAUAAAUUCACUCAUGGACUGCCAUUAAUUUCAUAAAAUGAAUGUCAUUUCCAUAAUUAUUCCUAAGUCCAAGUUAAUAUUCUGUGUCAACCGGAUAAAUGCCGUUACGACUUUAAUUUCUGUUUAUCAAAUGUGCAGAAAUACCUUAAAUAUGAAGAAUUACAAACAGAACAAAGUAUUAUUUCGAUAAGAAGUUUUCUUAAAGAACAUAUCAGAGACGUGCAUCUUUCUCUAAAAUGAUAUAUUUUUAGAUAGCAAUUUUAGAAGUAGAAAAUCUUCAUCAAAUAAGUUUAACUUGACUAAAUUUAUAUACUAACUGUGUUUGUAGAGCUAAAUUCACAAUAAGAUGUCAUGUAUAACAUUGAUUUAAAAAAAUACACAUUUAUUCUGUGCUUAGCUACACAUGUAUAUGGCGUGUACUAGUUUAAUGGUAUAUUCAAUCAAAUUUUCAAAUUAAAAAUACAACAUGAACAAUUACUUUAUAUAGAUUAUGUAAAACAUAAAAUUAACACGUUUAUGUAUUAUCAAUACUAUGCACAACGGACUGUGUACUUGUAUAGAUACACACAGUAUAAAUGUGUACUACCACUAAACGGCAGUUUUUAACAAUCCAUUGUUACUGCAUAACAUUAUUAAUUAAUUUAAUUAUAAAUGUAGCUGUAUAUGCAAACCUUAUUUAUAUGUUUAGUAAAGUUCAAUAAAUUUGAUAAGGAUUUUAUGCAUUCGAGGUAAAUAUCUAAUGAUAAAAUAUUUUAGUGACUAGAUAACAUUACACCUAACGCACAGUAAUGGUUAUACAAACAAACAUAUUAAUGUUUUGUUUAAAGAUACUAUACUAUCAAUGUUUAUAUUUACAAAUAUGAAGAAGUGCCACUAUAUCUUGUCUUUACAUAAGAACAACAAAUCUGUUAUAUAUACAUGUUGCGGCACAUAUGGAAGAUCGUUUUGGCGAAUAUGUAGCCUCGUUAAAUAAAGUCUUUAUUAUUAUUAUUAUUACUAUCAUUAUUGUUAUAUACAAUAAGAUGUCAUGUCUUUUUUCAUUGCGAUUCCAUGGAAGGUAAGCAAUUUGUUUUCCACAACAAAAAUAUAUAAAUAUGGCUUGUAGUUCGGCGACAACACACGUUUGAUAUAUUUAGUGUUUAUGGCGGGUAGAAUUCUGAAUUUCUUUUGAUAAGUUAUGUUUUCAUUUCCAAAUGAAUUGCAUGCAUCUUAUGUUUUGGUACUGGGAUUAUGUUGUAUAAUAUAUAUAAUGAGUUAUUUGAGUCACUUUAUUCAGUAGGCUUUCUGGACAAAUACGUUUAAGUGUGAGAAAAGGACCACAGCGCAGUUCUUACCAAUAUGCUUAGCGUCCCACACCCUAUCCGAAUCUUUUUUGGUGCACAUUUGAAGUAAUGCUUCUAGAUGCACAUUGUGGAACAAGACAUUUCAACGUUUAGCAACAUUAUCUGAGUAGUUCUCAAGAGUAAAGCUCUGCUAAAUUCCUUCCAAUUUAUUCAUUAGAUAACGUUUCACUACAUAUUAUGCAGACUAAGCUAAGAAUAAAUUUACUUGAAUCACCUUGUCAUUACUGUUACAAAGAAAUAAGCUAUUGUUGUUAUGAAAAAAGACAUUCUCUGGAGGCAUGCCCCUUGAACGCAAGAGCUCUUUAGGUUGAUAUACUAACAGAUUGAAAUGCACAUUUUCAUCAAUUAAUUAAAAGCUGCAUAAGAGAAAGAAUGAUACCUGACAUUAUUAUAAACAGUGAAAAGGACUAUUUAAGAUGUUUAAGUUUAGAUAUCCAUAUAAAGCCAAACAGCAUCAAUGUUGAUAUUGGUACGCGGCAGGUGUGUGUCUAAUGGUUACUGGGAAUUGCUCGUGCAGUGUGUUAGACUUUUUGCCUCUUACAUCCUAUAUGAUUACUGCCUACUCUCGUUGGCAAAUUGACUGUGAUUUCGAGACAACUUGUAUGAAUUCACCAAUUUGUAUUCCGUUAGGGCUUCACUGUGACUGAAUGCUAGAAACUUAGGCGACUGUGACGCUA